rnacentral:rRNA from 1 species
GACGAACGCUGGCGGCGUGCUUAACACAUGCAAGUCGAACGAAGAGCGAUGGAAGCUUGCUUCUAUCAAUCUUAGUGGCGAACGGGUGUGUAACGCGUAAUCAACCUGCCCUUCAGAGGGGGACAACAGUUGGAAACGACUGCUAAUACCGCAUACGAUCUAAUCUCGGCAUCGAGGAUAGAUGAAAGGUGGCCUCUACAUGUAAGCUAUCACUGAAGGAGGGGAUUGCGUCUGAUUAGCUAGUUGGAGGGGUAACGGCCCACCAAGGCGAUGAUCAGUAGCCGGUCUGAGAGGAUGAACGGCCACAUUGGGACUGAGACACGGCCCAGACUCCUACGGGAGGCAGCAGUGGGGAAUCUUCCGCAAUGGACGAAAGUCUGACGGAGCAACGCCGCGUGAGUGAUGACGGCCUUCGGGUUGUAAAGCUCUGUUAAUCGGGACGAAAGGCCUUCUUGCGAAUAGUGAGAAGGAUUGACGGUACCGGAAUAGAAAGCCACGGCUAACUACGUG